rnacentral:rRNA from 1 species
GACGAACGCUGGCGGCGCGCUUAACACAUGCAAGUCGAGCGAUGAAAUUUCGACAGAUCCCUUCGGGGUGAAGAUGAAAUGGAUUAGCGGCGGACGGGUGAGUAACACGUGAGUAACCUGCCUUUGACAUUGGGAUAGCCUCGGGAAACUGGGAUUAAUACCAAAUGACACUAACUGAUCACAUGAUCAAUUAGUCAAAGAAAUUCGGUCAAAGAUGGACUCGCGGCUGAUUAGCUAGUUGGUGAGGUAACGGCCCACCAAGGCGACGAUCAGUAGCCGGGCUGAGAGGGUGAUCGGCCACAUUGGAACUGAGACACGGUCCAAACUCCUACGGGAGGCAGCAGUGGGGAAUAUUGCACAAUGGGGGAAACCAUGAUGCAGCGACGCCGCGUGAGCGAAGAAGGCCUUCGGGUCGUAAAGCUCUUUUAUGAGGGAAGAUAAUGACGGUACCUCAAGAAAAAGCCCCGGCUAACUACGUG